rnacentral:rRNA from 1 species
UACGUAGGGGGCAAGCGUUGUCCGGAUUUAUUGGGCGUAAAGAGCGUGUAGGCGGCUUUACAGGUCCGUUGUGAAAACUCGAGGCUCAACCUCGAGACGCCGGUGGAAACCGUAAGGCUAGAGUCCGGAAGAGGAGAGUGGAAUUCCUGGUGUAGCGGUGAAAUGCGUAGAUAUCAGGAGGAACACCUGCGGUGUAGACGGCUUACUGGACCGUAACUGACGCUGAGGCACGAAAGCGUGGGUAGCAAACAGG